ACGCACGCUGGCGGCGUGCUUAACACAUGCCAGUCGAACGAAGAGCGAUGGAAGCUUGCUUCUAUCAAUCUUAGUGGCGAACGGGUGAGUAACGCGUAAUCAACCUGCCCUUCAGAGGGGGACAACAGUUGGAAACGACUGCUAAUACCGCAUACGAUCUAAUCUCGGCAUCGAGGAUAGAUGAAAGGUGGCCUCUACAUGUAAGCUAUCACUGAAGGAGGGGAUUGCGUCUGAUUAGCUAGUUGGAGGGGUAACGGCCCACCAAGGCGAUGAUCAGUAGCCGGUCUGAGAGGAUGAACGGCCACAUUGGGACUGAGACACGGCCCAGACUCCUACGGGAGGCAGCAGUGGGGAAUCUUCCGCAAUGGACGAAAGUCUGACGGAGCAACGCCGCGUGAGCGAUGACGGCCUUCGGGUUGUAAAGCUCUGUUAAUCGGGACGAAAGGCCUUCUUGCGAAUAGUGAGAAGGAUUGACGGUACCGGAAUAGAAAGCCACGGCUAACUACGUG
rnacentral:rRNA from 1 species